rnacentral:lncRNA from 1 species
AGAGUGGCCAAUGGCAUCCCAAUUGAAAUUCAAGAUCUCCGCUCUCUUGUAGCCCAUCAAAGAUUCACCUCUGCAUUCCAAUACAGUGAAGCAAUCAAUCACAAUACAGACACAAGCAAACAGUGGAUCUCUCCUGGAGGAGAUGGUCUCCGAAGAUAACAGGCUUCACACUGAUCAACGGAAUGAUAAACCCAGUUCAUUAACAGUGCUCACAAUGAGAUGUUGCAAAACAUUGUCCGCGACAGUGUGCAACCAAGGGAGAAAUGCAUUAUCGUGAGUCACCAGGCUGCCCGUUAUGGUGCACACCUGUCACCGUCGUUACGCGCACCUGCGUGUCAUCAGACUCACCUGGACUCCAUCACCUCCUUGAUUACCUGCCCUAUACAUGUCACGCCCUUUGGUUCCUUCCGCAGGCGUUAUUGUUUCUCUUCCUGUGUCAUGUUUGCGCGUUAUUCGUGUUUCUUAUUUUGUAUUGUGUUUAUUUAUUAAAACACUCAC